CUGGCUUUUCCCUCCCUCCCAGCGCUCAUCUCCUGCCAGUGCCUCCCAUUGGCUGAACCAACCAGGAAGCCGGAGUGCAAGGGAUCCUGGGAAAUGUAGUCUGAAGAGCUCAGUCCCGGUAACCCAGCAGAGUGAGAGGGAGAGAUCCAGGGGAACAGGAAAUGACAGGCGACUGGCCUCGGCUGGGCAGUGGGAAUGAGAAGGUGUUCCACCCCUGCCUAAAGGCCGGAGAUUGUCUCAGCUGACGUCUUUGAGUAUUUGAUCCAUACAGCAAUAGAGGGGUGAGAAACAAGGGGAGAAGUCUCUGCCACCCUGUUCCCAGGAGGAGAGGAGGGCAGGAGAGCGACUAUAGGGCUUGAAAGAAUAACAAAGAAAAAACAGGCAUGUGAGUUUUCUGAUCCUGGAUGGACGUUUUCCAGAAAAGGAAACUAAAUCUUCAUUGAUCCAUAGGAAGAAGGAAGCUCUCAGCCCCGUGAUGUCGUGGCACAAAGUCAGAGGCUUGGAGACCUCAACUCACUCAGGGCAUGAAGAAGAAAACUCAUUCAGAAGCAGGGGCAGUCUGACGAAGGAUAUGAAGGACUUCAAGAGUUUUUUCAGCUUGCUGAUAUAUCUUCAGCCUCCAGAACAGUGCCUAGGAUAUCAAAUAUAUUCAAUGAAUGUUUGCUGACUGAA